rnacentral:rRNA from 1 species
UCGUUAUUAUCGAUGGCGUGACGCAGGAGGAUAGUGUGUGCUAGCUAUUGGAUGCUAGUCUAAGCGUUUAGGCAGUGAGAGUAGGUAAAUCCGCUCUCAUAAUGCUGAGGCGUGAUGGGGAAGGUUCUACGGAACCGAAGUACAUGAUUCCACGCUGCCAAGAAAAGCGUCUAGAGAGAGAAGUAGUGCCCGUACCGCAAACCGACACAGGUA